GCGCCCGUAGCUCAGCUGGAUAGAGCACUAGACUACGAAUCUAGGGGCCGGGAGUUCGAAUCUCUCCGGGCGCGCCA
rnacentral:tRNA from 1 species